UUUGAUUCAUUCCAAUUAGAUUAUUUCCAUAACUCGUAGGAGAACAACCCACCAUUACAAAACUUAAAUUUUCAGUUCUAUACCCUCGUAAUUUUGGCUCAGGAACAGCCCCCCAAAACAGUUUUAAUUAGUUCGUUUUACAUGUUUUACUAGGAAAUCCGUCAUGAUUUCGUUACAACGGAUUUUUCCCUCGUUCCAAUUGGGUUGUGUUCAUAACUCGUAAGAGUACCACAGAUCAUCCCGGAACUUAAUUUUUCAGUUUCAAAGCACAACACAAUUUGGUCCAAAACAGUCCACUAGUUGUCCAAUUGGAGCUUAUUAGUCUUUUAGAGGUCUUAAAUCAAACACCUCAUAUGCAAUUCAUAUAAGAACAGAGUUUAUAUAUACUUUUAUACAAGUUUAGCCCAAAAUCUCCUCCCUUAUUGCUCCUCACAGUCCAACCUAAACUCCUUUUACUAAUUCUCAAUCCCAAACACAAAACACAUCUAAUUAUAGCACUUUUAUUAUCAAAUUUCUAAUACAACAACUAAAAUAUUGAACAUACCUUUAAA
rnacentral:lncRNA from 1 species